rnacentral:rRNA from 1 species
GGGAACUACGAGCAUAAGCUUAAAACCCAAAGGACUUGGCGGUGCUUUAGAUCCCCCUAGAGGAGCCUGUUCUAGAACCGAUAACCCCCGUUCGACCUCACCUCUUUCUUGUUCCUCCCGCCUAUAUACCGCCGUCGUCAGCAUACCCUGUGAAGGAAGCAUAGUACGCAAAAUUGGCAAAGCCCAAAACGCCAGGUCGAGGUGUAGCGAACGAAAAGGAAAGAAAUGGGCUACAUUUCCUCUUCCAGGAAAUACGAAUUGUGCUAUGAAACAACACAUGAAGGAGGAUUUAGUAGUAAGCAGAAAACAGAGAGUUCUGCUGAACCCGGCCCUGAAGCACGCACACACCGCCCGUCACUCUCCCCAAACCAAAAAUGCCCAUACUUAAAAAUAUAUACAGGACUAAGGGGAGGCAAGUCGUAACAUGGUAAGUGUACCGGAAAGUGCACUUGGAAAAC